UACGUAGGGUGCGAGCGUUUAAUCGGAAUCUGGGCGUAAAGCGUGCGCAGGCGGUUUUGUAAGCCAGAUGUGAAAUCCCCGGGCUUAACCUGGGAAUGGCAUUUGGGACUGCAAGGCUUGAGUGCGGCAGAGGAGACUGGAAUUCCUGGUGUAGCAGUGAAAUGCGUAGAUAUCAGGAGGAACACCGAUGGCGAAAGGCAGGUCUCUGG
rnacentral:rRNA from 1 species